rnacentral:rRNA from 1 species
GGAUGCCUACGGGGGGCAGCAGUAGGGAAUCUUCCACAAUGGACGAAAGUCUGAUGGAGCAACGCCGCGUGAGUGAAGAAGGGUUUCGGCUCGUAAAGCUCUGUUGGUAGUGAAGAAAGAUAGAGGUAGUAACUGGCCUUUAUUUGACGGUAAUUACUUAGAAAGUCACGGCUAACUACGUGCCAGCAGCUGCGGUAAUACGUAGGUGGCAAGCGUUAUCCGGAUUUAUUGGGUUUUAAGGGUGCGCAGGCGGUCUGUUA